AUAUAUGCCAACAUCACGACUCCCGAUCCCGUUCGAUCUCGGAAGAUAAGCUACGUCUGGCCCGGUUAGUACUUAGAUGGGUGACCACUUGGGAACACCGGAUGUUGCAGGCU
rnacentral:rRNA from 1 species